AUAAAUGUUUGUAGUGCACUGAUUAAAAUAUAUUUAAGACUCAAUGUUAUAAUAUUAUAAUAUUAUAAUAUUACGAUUAUCAAUAAUUAUUAUUAUAUAUGUAAAAAAAAUUAUUAUAAAUUUAUAACCAUUGCAUCAUCGGAAUAUACCUAUAUACAAUCUACAUUUUAAAACGUUUAAUAUAGGUACUUGUGUCCGAUUUACGAACAAUAAUAUUGCACGCAGAAGUCUGCAGACAAACGGUAUUUUUUUCAGAUGUCGUUUUGGAAAAUAAUAUAUUCGGUAAAAAUGCGUGACCAGAUUAAAAAAAAAAAAUUAGAAGCGAAUAGUUUUUUAAGCUGAGGGGUCGAAAUCACGUCUGAAGGCACCGGUAUCAGUCGUCACUCGUCAAAAAACCAAACACGUGUUGACGUGUACGAUUCGUGUACAGUGUACACAGUAGCUUUUUAGGUAAGUACACGUACGUUUAGUCAUAAUACAAUAAUGAGGCCUCUUCUAUACAAUAUUUUCCGGGCGGAACAUUCGAUCGGUAUAAUAUACAAUAUCGACUGCUGCUGCGUCUGGUUUCCGGGUCGAUUGUUUCAUCGAACACAAUUAAUAAAAAGUCGUGACGGUUCGUGCAGUCGACGAGUCGAGGCUCGCGGGCGGGGAGCGCGGAGAGGCGACUGCGUUUGGAUUCUCUGGCACGCGUCAUAAAUUACAAGUGUUUAGUGCGCACACACACACACACACACACACACUGAGCAGCAUAGGUAUGACAUAUAGAUACCGCGCGUGCAGUCGGUACUCCGGACUCGAGCUGAACGUCUAAAGUGCAGCGGACCCAGUAUUUUCGGUUGAACGUGGCCGGUAUCCACCGGCAACCGACAACGGACCGGUUCGAGAACUCGAGCUCGUGUACCUCGACGAACCCGUUCAGGACGUCUGGACCGAAUGAUCUCAGCAUGCCGGGCAACAGGAAGUUGGCGAACGCGCACCCGCCCACAACGUACCAGGCCCAGCUGUCGUCGAACGUCCGGUGUUGACGUUCCUGUCGCGAAUUUUGGUGAUGUUGGUCGCGGCGAAUCGACGUUGACGGUCCUGCGGCGUUACGAGAAACACACAUCAAAAAUGUACAAACGACUAAACAAGUGAUGAAACGACACCGGACAUGUAGAAACAGUGGCUUGGCCAAGGGUGAAUUUUGGAUGCUUAAACACCCGGGGCAUCAAAAAAUAUAUGAACCAUAUGAUUCAGA